CCCUUAGAGUUUGAUCCUGGCUCAGAGCGAACGCUAGCGGGCGGCUUAACACAUGCAAGUCGAGCGGGGGAGUUCGGUCCUCAGCGGCGGACGGGUGAGUAACACGUAGGAAUCUGCCUUUUGGUGGGGGAUAGCCGGGGGAAACCCCGAUUAAUACCGCAUAUGGCCCAUGGGUCAAAGCCGUAAGGCGCCAGAAGAUGAGCCUGCGUCCGAUUAUUUAGUCCUUGUUGGUGGGGUAACGGCCUACCAAGGGUACGAUCGGUAGCUGGUCUGAGAGGACGAUCAGCCACACUGGAACUGAGACACGGUCCAGACUCCUACGGGAGGCAGCAGUGGGGAAUAUUGCGCAAUGGGCGAAAGCCUGACGCAGCCAGCCCGCGUGUGUGAUGAAGGCCUUCGGGUCGUAAAGCACUGUCGUAGGGGAAGAAUCAAUGACGGUACCCUACAAGAAAGCACCGGCUAACCCCGUGCCAGCAGCCGCGGUAAUACGGGGGGUGCAAGCGUUGCUCGGAAUCACUGGGCGUAAAGCGUCCGCAGGUGGGUGUGUGUGUCGGAUGUGAAAGCCCAGGGCUCAACCCUGGAACUGCAUUCGAAACUGCACAUCUUGAGUACGGGAGAGGGAAGCAGAAUUCCUGGUGUAGAGGUGAAAUUCGUAGAUAUCAGGAGGAAUACCUGUGGCGAAAGCGGCUUCCUGGUCCGAUACUGACACUCAUGGACGAAAGCGCGGGGAGCAAACAGGAUUAGAUACCCUGGUAGUCCGCGCCGUAAACGAUGGAUGCUAGUUGAUGGGUCUUUUACCGACUCAUUGACGUC
rnacentral:rRNA from 1 species